rnacentral:antisense_RNA from 1 species
CUUCAACGAGCCCAGCCAGAGCGGCUGUUCGGCGUCACGGCCCUGGCCGUACGUGGCCAGCAGGGCCUGUGCCUC